GAGCAGCACUAGAGCCAACUGCAGAAGGAUCCUUGGCUAGUCUGAGGUUGACACUGUUGUUUCUAUUCCCAGAGCUAAUUAAAGGCUUCCCAGAAAUAUCGACUAAGUUUGAUUUUGCGCUGGUCACAGAUCGGGUCCGGGGACAGCGGGAGCAAGAAGAAGAGACAGUAAAAAGCCAGCAGGAAUUGAAGGAGGAGAAGAUGGGCAGGAGCAGCUGAGAAGUGGGAAGCGGCAGGAGGCUCUCCAGUCAUGCAUGGGAAGUGCUGUCACUGUGCCAGGACUCUGUCAUCUUUAGGAGAUUACACUCCUGGCCCUCCUGGUGCUGGGGAAAAGCUUGAAAACAUUAAAAAAAAUAAAAGACAAAAAACUAGAAGAACUUUCCAUCAUUAAACUAAAGAAUUUCUCACUGAAUCAUCUAAAGUAUAACACUGAUGAGAGCCAGUUAACCUGUACUCUUGUCUGCUGCGGAGCGGAGGAAUAAAAGCUUUCUGGGUCUGCGUAGACAAAUUCCACAGCAACAUCUGAUGAUAAGAUCUGACAGUAGUAGCAGAGUCAUGUUUAAAUCAUAUUUACAAUAUGUCCCCUCUGGGCCAACCAGAGAGCAAUCUUUCUUAGAACAAUACAUAUUGGCAAUUUUUUUUGCUCCAUUUAGAGAUAAUUUUAGCUCUUCAGUGUCAUGCAAAUAUGCAGGGCUUUACUCAGAUAAAACUGCUAUCAAGGCACUGGGAGCUCUGCCAGGAAGAGAACAAACAAGUCUCCUAAGAAGAGUUCAGCUUGAGAAAGGCUUCAAGACUUACUCUAAUGGGCAUUAAAUGGUGCAUUUUAUCUGGGUUUAAAAGACAAUGAAUCCAUGUUUUUGAAAGGAAAAAUGAAAUGGCACCAAAAUCAUUAGUUUCUGAAGUUUAAAUUUACUUUAGGCCCACCAAAAUGUACACACAUUUACAUGUAAAAUGAAGCAUUACUCAGCCCCACUGUCUGGCAGCCCUGCAGAGAGCCUGGACCCUCAGCCACCCCCUCCCCAGGCCGCAGGGACCCCCAGGCGGGGAAGCCAACAGGUCGGCCCAGAGAGACCCUGGUUCAUCCAGGUGGUGUGGCCUGGGGGGAAAGAACAAACGCCCAAAUCUCUGCCCUCUCCUUAAAAUAGGUUUUGGUUCAUAGGAGAUGGAAUCUACAUAUGCUUGUUAACCCUUGAUCAACAAAAUGGGCACCAAACACCAAGCUCGUUCCUGCAAGACAGAGCAGAAUUACAGAUAUUAAACUAUUGCAAACCAGCAACUGGAUAUGGGUCUAGACAACAAGACCAUCCACCACUACAUCAGGUAGGCUUAAUGUAAUCCUGUUAUAAAUGCUCCUGCUUUCUGGGACACUCUGAACAACCAAAAAUUAGGAAAAUCUUCUGCCUGGGAAAGAUACUUUAUCAUUGCCAACUGGCGGGUUUCCUUCCCUACAUGGUUGGAGGAAGGAUAUUGGACAAGAUGGUCCAUAAAGCAAAGAAAGAAAUUGAAAAAGUGAAAAGUUCGAAUGGAAGGAGGGGGAAACCUUUGCUAUGGAAAUACUGAGAAUAAUUGGUAACUUGGUCUUGAAACAUUUCAUAUUGCAAAUGCACACGCUCCAUGCACCACAUUGGAGAAGGUUCUUCACUGACCCUGUUAAGCUGGUCUUGAACUUCCCUCGGAGAUCAAACAGCUGCCCAGCUGUGCCCAGGACCCGGCAGACACAGUGAUCCCUGCACACAACCACCACAACAACUUCUUAAACAUGCCACAGCUUGAGGGGAUCUUGGCAGAUGAAAGCGAUGUAAAUAUGAGAUUAUUUUAUCUAGUAUUGUUAUUAUAAUUUUAUGAUCUUGUCUGUAUACAGUGUCUUAAAACUUUGUAAGCUCUUUUUUUUGUUUGGUUUUCACUGCCUUUAAGUGUCUUGGUAAAUUUAUAAUCCCUUUUCUUUUGCUUCUUUUUCUAUCUCUUUAUUUGAAGACCUGGCAUGCAAUGAAUCAAAGAAGGGAUAUUUAUACCCAUACUGUGAGAAUGUUUACAAUGUACAGAAAAUUCUGCCUGUGGUUUGGUCUUUGUAUAUUUUCAGAAUAAAUGACAGUUUUCCAAACGUACUAUAUUACUGUUGAGUCCACAGAGUCUGUAUUUAUGUAACUAAAAUGCUUUUAUGUAGACCUUUGCAACAUGCCAAAACUAAAAAUAUUUUAAUGAAUGAAUCAAAGUAGUACAGCAAAGAAAUCUGUAACAUAUUACCAUUUCAAAAUAAAGAUUUCUGUGAAAAGCC